rnacentral:rRNA from 1 species
GAUGAACGCUGGCGGCGUGCCUAAUACAUGCAAGUCGAGCGAACAGACGAGGAGCUUGCUCCUCUGACGUUAGCGGCGGACGGGUGAGUAACACGUGGAUAACCUACCUAUAAGACUGGGAUAACUUCGGGAAACCGGAGCUAAUACCGGAUAACAUGUUGAACCGCAUGGUUUAACAGUGAAAGACGGUCUUGCUGUCACUUAUAGAUGGAUCCGCGCCGCAUUAGCUAGUUGGUAAGGUAACGGCUUACCAAGGCAACGAUGCGUAGCCGACCUGAGAGGGUGAUCGGCCACACUGGAACUGAGACACGGUCCAGACUCCUACGGGAGGCAGCAGUAGGGAAUCGUCCGCAAUGGGCGAAAGCCUGACGGAGCAACGCCGCGUGAGUGAAGAAGGUCUUCGGAUCGUAAAACUCUGUUAUGAGGGAAGAACAAAUGUGUAAGUAACUAUGCACGUCUUGACGGUACCUAAUCAGAAAGCCACGGCUAACUACGUG